rnacentral:rRNA from 1 species
GCUUGUCUCAAAGAUUAAGCCAUGCAUGUAUAAGUAUAAACGCUUUAAGCGUGAAACCGCGAACGGCUCAUUACAACAGCUAUAAUUUACUUGAUCUUGACAAACUUACAUGGAUAACUGAGGUAAUUCUUGAGCUAAUACAUGCACCAAAGCUUUGACCGUAAGGGAAGAGCGCAUUUAUUAGAACAAAACCAAACGGCUUCGGCUGUUCCCAGUUGAAUCAGAAUAACUCAGCUGAUCGUACGGUCUUGCACCGACGACGUGUCUUUCAAGUAUCUGCUUUAUCAACUUUCGAUGGUAGGGUAUCUGCCUACCAUGGUGGUGACGGAUAACGGAGGAUCAGGGUUCGACUCCGGAGAAGGGGCCUGAGAAAUGGCCACUACGUCUAAGGAUGGCAGCAGGCGCGCAAAUUACCCACUCUCAGAAUUUGGAGGAGGUAGUGACGAGAAAUAACGAGGUUGAUCUCUUCUGAGGCCAACCAUCGGAAUGGGUACAAUUUAAACCCUUUAACGAGUAUCUAUGAGAGGGCAAGUCUGGUGCCAGCAGCCGCGGUAAUUCCAGCUCUCAAAAUGCAUAGAAUUAUUGCUGCGGUUAAAAAGCUCGUAGUUGGAUCUGCAGCCGGAGCUCCGGUCCAUCUUCGGAUGUGUACUGGAUGUCUUCGGCUUUCUGACAGUGUUCGGCUCUGUGCCUCUAACCAGGUGUGGAUGUCCGAUACUGUAAGUUUACUUUGAAUAAAUCAGAGUGCUCUAAACAGGCGUUUUGCUUGAAUGAUUGUGCAUGGAAUAAUAGAAGAGGAUUUCGGUUCUAUUUUAUUGGUUUUAUAGACUGAGAUAAUGGUUAACAGAGACAAACGGGGGCAUUUGUAUGGCUACGUGAGAGGUGAAAUUCUUGGACC